rnacentral:rRNA from 1 species
GGUGAAAAGCACCCCGGAAGGGGAGUGAAAUAGAACCUGAAACCGUGUGCUUACAAGUAGUCAGAGCCCGUUAAUGGGUGAUGGCGUGCCUUUUGUAGAAUGAACCGGCGAGUUACGAUUUGAUGCAAGGUUAAGCAGUAAAUGUGGAGCCGUAGCGAAAGCGAGUCUGAAUAGGGCGUUUAGUAUUUGGUCGUAGACCCGAAACCAGGUGAUCUACCCUUGGUCAGGUUGAAGUUCAGGUAACACUGAAUGGAGGACCGAACCGACUUACGUUGAAAAGUGAGCGGAUGAACUGAGGGUAGCGGAGAAAUUCCAAUCGAACCUGGAGAUAGCUGGUUCUCUCCGAAAUAGCUUUAGGGCUAGCCUCAAGUGAUGAUUAUUGGAGGUAGAGCACUGUUUGGACGAGGGGCCCCUCUCGGGUUACCGAAUUCAGACAAACUCCGAAUGCCAAUUAAUUUAACUUGGGAGUCAGAACAUGGGUGAUAAGGUCCGUGUUCGAAAGGGAAACAGCCCAGACCACCAGCUAAGGUCCCAAAAUAUAUGUUAAGUGGAAAAGGAUGUGGCGUUGCCCAGACAACUAGGAUGUUGGCUUAGAAGCAGCCAUCAUUUAAAGAGUGCGUAAUAGCUCACUAGUCGAGUGACACUGCGCCGAAAAUGUACCGGGGCUAAACAUAUUACCGAAGCUGUGGAUUGUCCUUUGGACAAUGGUAGGAGAGCGUUCUAAGGGCGUUGAAGCAUGAUCGUAAGGACAUGUGGAGCGCUUAGAAGUGAGAAUGCCGGUGUGAGUAGCGAAAGACGGGUGAGAAUCCCGUCCACCGAUUGACUAAGGUUUCCAGAGGAAGGCUCAUCCGCUCUGGGUUAGUCGGGUCCUAAGCUGAGGCCGACAGGCGUAGGCGAUGGAUAACAGGUUGAUAUUCCUGUACCACCUAUAAUCGUUUUAAUCGAUGGGGGGACGCAGUAGGAUAGGCGAAGCGUGCGAUUGGAUUGCACGUCUAAGCAGUAAGGCUGAGUAUUAGGCAAAUCCGGUACUCAUUAAGGCUGAGCUGUGAUGGGGAGAAGACAUUGUGUCUUCGAGUCGUUGAUUUCACACUGCCGAGAAAAGCCUCUAGAUAGAAAAUAGGUGCCCGUACCGCAAACCGACACAGGUAGUCAAGAUGAGAAUUCUAAGGUGAGCGAGCGAACUCUCGUUAAGGAACUCGGCAAAAUGACCCCGUAACUUCGGGAGAAGGGGUGCUCUUUAGGGUUAACGCCCAGAAGAGCCGCAGUGAAUAGGCCCAAGCGACUGUUUAUCAAAAACACAGGUCUCUGCUAAACCGUAAGGUGAUGUAUAGGGGCUGACGCCUGCCCGGUGCUGGAAGGUUAAGAGGAGUGGUUAGCUUCUGCGAAGCUACGAAUCGAAGCCCCAGUAAACGGCGGCCGUAACUAUAACGGUCCUAAGGUAGCGAAAUUCCUUGUCGGGUAAGUUCCGACCCGCACGAAAGGCGUAACGAUUUGGGCACUGUCUCAACGAGAGACUCGGUGAAAUCAUAGUACCUGUGAAGAUGCAGGUUACCCGCGACAGGACGGAAAGACCCCGUGGAGCUUUACUGUAGCCUGAUAUUGAAAUUCGGCACAGCUUGUACAGGAUAGGUAGGAGCCUUUGAAACGUGAGCGCUAGCUUACGUGGAGGCGCUGGUGGGAUACUACCCUAGCUGUGUUGGCUUUCUAACCCGCACCACUUAUCGUGGUGGGAGACAGUGUCAGGCGGGCAGUUUGACUGGGGCGGUCGCCUCCUAAAAGGUAACGGAGGCGCUCAAAGGUUCCCUCAGAAUGGUUGGAAAUCAUUCAUAGAGUGUAAAGGCAUAAGGGAGCUUGACUGCGAGACCUACAAGUCGAGCAGGGUCGAAAGACGGACUUAGUGAUCCGGUGGUUCCGCAUGGAAGGGCCAUCGCUCAACGGAUAAAAGCUACCCCGGGGAUAACAGGCUUAUCUCCCCCAAGAGUUCACAUCGACGGGGAGGUUUGGCACCUCGAUGUCGGCUCAUCGCAUCCUGGGGCUGUAGUCGGUCCCAAGGGUUGGGCUGUUCGCCCAUUAAAGCGGUACGCGAGCUGGGUUCAGAACGUCGUGAGACAGUUCGGUCCCUAUCCGUCGUGGGCGUAGGAAAUUUGAGAGGAGCUGUCCUUAGUACGAGAGGACCGGGAUGGACAUACCUCUGGUGUACCAGUUGUCGUGCCAACGGCAUAGCUGGGUAGCUAUGUGUGGACGGGAUAAGUGCUGAAAGCAUCUAAGCAUGAAGCCCCCCUCAAGAUGAGAUUUCCCAACUUCGGUUAUAAGAUCCCUCAAAGAUGAUGAGGUUAAUAGGUUCGAGGUGGAAGCAUGGUGACAUGUGGAGCUGACGAAUACUAA